CACGGGGGGAGCAAGCGUUGUUCGGAAUCACUGGGCGUAAAGGGCGUGUAGGCGGUUAGGUAAGUGGAAUGUGAAAUCCCUCGGCUCACCCGAGGACCUGCAUCCCAAACUGCCUGACUUGAGUAUGGGAGAGGAUGAGGGAAUUCCUGGUGUAGCGGUGAAAUGCGUAGAUAUCAGGAGGAACACCGGUGGCGAAGGCGCUCAUCUGGCCCAAUACUGACGCUGAGGCGCGAAAGCUAGGGGAGUAAACGGG
rnacentral:rRNA from 1 species